CGCCCUAUAGCUGCAGUGGUCAGAGCGCACGUUGGAAAACGUGAGGUCGCGGGUUCGAAUCCCGUUAGGGCAA
rnacentral:tRNA from 1 species